rnacentral:rRNA from 1 species
CUGGCUCAGAACGAACGCUGGCGGCAGGCUUAACACAUGCAAGUUGAGCGGGAUUGGUUGGUAGCUUGCUACUAAUCAUGAGAGCAGCGCACUGGUGAGUAACACGUGGGAACAUACCUUUUGGUGGGGGACAACAGUUGGAAACGACUGCUAAUACCGCAUAAGCCCUAAGGGGGAAAGAUUUAUUGCCGAAAGAUUGGCCCGCGGAAGAUUAGGUAGUAGGUGGGGUAACGGCCUACCUAGCCGACGAUCUAUAGCUGGUCUGAGAGGACGAUCAGCCACAUUGGAACUGAGACACGGUCCAGACUCCUACGGGAGGCAGCAGUGAGGAAUAUUGGGCAAUGGAGGCAACUCUGAACCCCCAGCCAUGCCGCGUGAGUGAAGAAGGUUUUCGGAUUGUAAAGCUCUUUCAGACGGGAAGAUGAUGACGGUACCGUCAGAAGAAGCACCGGCUAACUUCGUGCCAGCCGCGGC